rnacentral:rRNA from 1 species
GACGAACGCUGGCGGCGUGCUUAACACAUGCAAGUCGAACGGUGAAGCGCCUUCCUUUUUGGUGGGUGUGGAUGAGUGGCGAACGGGUGAGUAACACGUGAGUAACCUGCCCCCUUCUUCUGGAUAACCGCAUGAAAGUGUGGCUAAUACGGGAUAUUCUGGGUCUGUCGCAUGAUGGGUCUGGGAAAGAUAUUGUUUCGGUGGGGGAUGGGCUCGCGGCCUAUCAGCUUGUUGGCGGGGUGAUGGCCUACCAAGGCGGUGACGGGUAGCCGGCCUGAGAGGGUGGACGGUCACACUGGGACUGAGGCACGGCCCAGACUGCUACGGGAGGCAGCAGUGGGGAAUAUUGCACAAUGGGCGCAAGCCUGAUGCAGCGACGCCGCGUGAGGGAUGGAGGCCUUCGGGUUGUGAACCUCUUUCGCCAGUGAAGCAGGCCUGCCUCGUUUGUGGGUGGGUUGACGGUAGCUGGAUAAGAAGCGCCGGCUAACUACGUG